AGUGAACGCUGGCGGUAGGCCUAACACAUGCAAGUCGAACGGCAGCACAGUAAGAGCUUGCUCUUACGGGUGGCGAGUGGCGGACGGGUGAGGAAUACAUCGGAAUCUACUUUUUCGUGGGGGAUAACGUAGGGAAACUUACGCUAAUACCGCAUACGACCUACGGCUGAAAGCAGGGGAUCUUCGGACCUUGCGCGAUUGAAUGAGCCGAUGUCGGAUUAGCUAGUUGGCGGGGUAAAGGCCCACCAAGGCGACGAUCCGUAGCUGGUCUGAGAGGAUAAUCAGCCACACUGGAAGUGAGACACGGUCCAGACUCCUACGGGAGGCAGCAGUGGGGAAUAUUGGACAAGGGGCGCAAGCCUGAGCCAGCCAUACCGCGUGGGUGAAGAAGGCCUUCGUGUUGUAAAGCCCUUUUGUUGGGAAAGAAAAGCAGCAGGUUAAUACCCCGCUGUUCGGACGGUACCCAAAGAAUAAGCACCGGCUAACUUCGU
rnacentral:rRNA from 1 species